rnacentral:rRNA from 1 species
ACCUGGUUGAUCCUGCCAGUAGUCAUAUGCUUGUCUCAAAGAUUAAGCCAUGCAAGUGUAAGUUCACGUCACGAUUAAGAACGGGCGAAACCGCGAAUGGCUCAGGAACCGGACCUAAUCCUCGGGACCGUAUUCCUCCACGGAGGGAAGUGGAUAACUGUGGUAAUUCUAGAGCUAAUACAUGCAACUAAAGUCUCGAUCUUCGUUCGGUUUGGUUUAGUUUUGGUAAUGUGUCGAUUUCUGAUUCGCUUCGUUUGUAUGAAUGCACGCGCACGCACGCGCACACACACACACACACAUUGUUGUUGUUGUUGUUGUUUGUCGCGCGUGUCGUGUCGUCGUCGUCUCCGUUGUGCUAUUGGUAUCGCACUCUUGACUCGUUCCUCCGUACGACGCCUUUGAUCGCGGCGCAACAUAUUAGACUGAGACCGAUGCGUUUUGUUGGUCGUCGAAGUGACUGGCGCACGCACAGGCACGCGCGCGCGGCACACACGCUGGCACGCAAGUGUCGACGUGUCUCUGUUCAAUCGCGCGUCUUUAAGGUUCGCGCGCGCUCGUUCUCUUUUCGUCGCAUCCGACGCGCCCGCUUUUGGUGACUCUGGAUAACACAAUUGUCGAUCGCUAUGGGUCUUUUGUACCUGGCGACGGGUCCCCCGAGGGUCCGCCCUAUCAACUGUCGACGGUCGGAUAAUUGCCUACCGUGGUUACAACGGGUAACGGGGAAUCGGGGUUCGAUUCCGGAGAGGGAGCAUGCGAAACGGCUACCACAUCCAAGGAAGGCAGCAGGCGCGCAAAUUACCCACUCCCGGCACGGGGAGGUAGUGACGAAAAAUAACGACGCGGGACUCUGUCGAGGCCCCGCGAUCGGAAUGGGUACACUUCAAAUCGGUUAACGAGUAUCAACCGGAGGGCAAGUCUGGUGCCAGCAGCCGCGGUAAUUCCAGCUCCGGUAGCGUAUAUUAAACUUGUUGCGGUUAAAAAGCUCGUAGUCGGAACUCGGGUCUAAAAAAAAACGUAGUAAAAUACGUUCGGGGCGUCGGCACCGUCGUUCGAGUCCGAACUUCGGUUGGUUUUUUAUCCGUACGCACACCCGGCCCUAUCCGCCGGUACGGACGAGGGAMGGCCAUUCGCGGAAAGAAAUGUGUCUCGGUCUUAGGUUUUCUUUUCUUGCGUUUUUUUUUUUUUUUUUUUUUUUUCGUUUUAAUUUUGUUGUUGAAUUUCUGUUUGAUUUUUUUUUUUUCUGUGCUUUUUUUAACGACAAUCGAAUUUUUUGUGAAAUUUUUUGUGAAAUUUGUAUUUUGUGUGAACGAACGAACGAAUCAACGAUUGAUCGAUCGGUCGAAACGCGCGUGCGCGCGCGAACGCGCGCGACAACGAACGUACUACGGAGUUUGGAGGAGGAGGAUUUCGAAGGAAUUAAUUUAAUGAAACGAUCCAUAUAAUAUAACGAUAAAUAACGAUAAAUAACGAUAAACUAUAACGACGAUUACUAAUAGAGAGGAGUGUUUUUGGAGAGAGAGGAUAUAUAUAGAAAAGAUUUGCAGAUUAUAAAAUUUUUUGCUUUUCACAUGCGCCGCCUUUUGCUUAACGGUAAAAAAAAGAGGGSUGCUGUUGGUUGUUUCGGUUUGUUGGUUUUGUAUUUUUUAGUAAUUUCGUGGUUAGUUUUUUGUUGUUGUUGUUUUGUGGUUUUAGGUUUAUGGUUUUUUGUCUUUUGUUUUGCUUUGCGUUGGUGUGUGUGCGUGCGUUGGUGUUUCGAAUUGCAUUGAAGAAUAGAGGAGAAGAAGGAGAAGGACGAGGAUGAUUUACAUCUACCUCGUCUACAAUGUCUCUUUUUUUUUUUUUUUUUCUUUCCUUUUGCAUUCUUAAUCUAACGCAAUUUUUCAUCGCCAGCCUAAACUUUUUUUCAAAAAACUACUACUACUACUGCUACUACUGCUAUUACUGCUACUACUACUGCUACUUUACCUCGCCGUUCGUCGCCGAUCUCCCCUUGGCAUCGCUUAUGUCGCUUUUUUUUUUAUAUUUUGUUGUUUUUUUUUUUCUUUCUCUCUUUCUUCUUUCCGUUUUAAUUAUUAUUAUAUAUAUUUUUUUUUUUUGUUUUCGUUUUUUUAUUCGUUUUUUAAUUUUUUUUUUUUCUUUUCUUUUUCUUCGCCGUUUACUUUCUUCGCCGUCGCUGCCGCCGCGCCGCUGCCUUCGUCGUCGUCGUCGUCGUCUCCUAUUCUUCACACGUUUACUUACAAUUUUUUUUUUUUUUUUUGAAUUUUUCGUGUUUCAAAAACAAAUAAAACAGAAAAAAAAUAGAAUAGAAUGACGAGAAUGAAAAAGAAUAGAAUUGGAAAAAAAAAAUAUAUAACAAAGAAAGAAACGAUCAAAACAAGAAAGACAAAAAAAAACUGAUAUAGUCGAGACGAACGCGUUUGGUAAAACGAAUUCGCGUCGUGCCCUUCGUUCGAUUCCUCCGAGGGUGCUCUUUACCGAGUGUCCGAGGCGGCCGGUACGU